rnacentral:lncRNA from 1 species
AUUUCAUUGCCGUAACCAUAAUAAGUCUUUGAAGAAAGUCUAAUAAUAAUGCGGUUAGUGUCCGUUCCUUCUGGAGGAGAUGACAGGGAAGACACUUGCAAGAACUAGACUGGCCAGCUGACUGCUCCUGUGAAGGCAGGUUAGCUACGCAGACUGCACAAAGUGCCAGGCUCAUGCACAGGGCAGAGGUGGCUCAAGAAAAAAUUACCCUUCUGUCUCAAGAGUAAUGCAGGCCGGGAAGGGCAACAUGUGACAAGGACAAUCAAAGACAUCUCUUCUAUGGGAGAAGUGGAGAAAACUUGACACCAUUCUGGGGGGACCCAGAAUCUGCUCUAGAGAUGAUUUCCUUUCCUCGGGAGAAUUUAGAGACAGUGGACUGGCCAGAGGCACUCAUAAAAGAAGACACAUUUCUGCAGACUGCUCUGAAGAGUGGCUCUGAAGAGUACUGAAGCAAAUAAC